UACGUAGGGGGCAAGCGUUAUCCGGAUUUACUGGGUGUAAAGGGAGCGUAGACGGCCAUGCAAGUCUGAUGUGAAAACCCGGGGCUCAACCCCGGGACUGCAUUGGAAACUGUGCGGCUGGAGUGUCGGAGAGGCAAUCGGAAUUCCGUGUGUAGCGGUGAAAUGCGUAGAUAUACGGAGGAACACCAGUGGCGAAGGCGGAUUGCUGGACAGUAACUGACGCUGAGGCGCGAAAGCGUGGGGAGCAAACAGG
rnacentral:rRNA from 1 species